GAUGACAGAGUUUUAGUCAGAGUUUCUCUCAAACAGCAGCUGGAGGUUCCAACAAUUAAUGAGACAUCGGAGUCUGAAUUAUCUGCUCAAGGAGCGCUUCCACCUCUAGCUUCUGGUUCACCACCUUUACCCUUGGAUUCUCCGCCUUCUCCUCCGCCCUUACCUCCAUCGCCACCCCCACCUUCUCCUCCCCCGCCACCACUGUCACCACCACCACCACCACCUCCACCACCACUGCCUCCAUCAUCAUAUCCGCAACUUCUAUC
rnacentral:lncRNA from 1 species